UCCUGAAUUCAGCGGCGGACGGGUGAGUAAUGCCUAGGAAUCUGCCUGGUAGUGGGGGACAACGUUUCGAAAGGAACGCUAAUACCGCAUACGUCCUACGGGAGAAAGCAGGGGACCUUCGGGCCUUGCGCUAUCAGAUGAGCCUAGGUCGGAUUAGCUAGUUGGUGAGGUAAUGGCUCACCAAGGCGACGAUCCGUAACUGGUCUGAGAGGAUGAUCAGUCACACUGGAACUGAGACACGGUCCAGACUCCUACGGGAGGCAGCAGUGGGGAAUAUUGGACAAUGGGCGAAAGCCUGAUCCAGCCAUGCCGCGUGUGUGAAGAAGGUCUUCGGAUUGUAAAGCACUUUAAGUUGGGAGGAAGGGCAGUAAAUUAAUACUUUGCUGUUUUGACGUUACCGACAGAAUAAGCACCGGCUAACUCUGUGCCAGCAGCCGCGGUAAUACAGAGGGUGCAAGCGUUAAUCGGAAUUACUGGGCGUAAAGCGCGCGUAGGUGGUUUGUUAAGUUGGAUGUGAAAGCCCCGGGCUCAACCUGGGAACUGCAUUCAAAACUGACAAGCUAGAGUAUGGUAGAGGGUGGUGGAAUUUCCUGUGUAGCGGUGAAAUGCGUAGAUAUAGGAAGGAACACCAGUGGCGAAGGCGACCACCUGGACUGAUACUGACACUGAGGUGCGAAAGCGUGGGGAGCAAACAGGAUUAGAUACCCUGGUAGUCCACGCCGUAAACGAUGUCAACUAGCCGUUGGGAGCCUUGAGCUCUUAGUGGCGCAGCUAACGCAUUAAGUUGACCGCCUGGGGAGUACGGCCGCAAGGUUAAAACUCAAAUGAAUUGACGGGGGCCCGCACAAGCGGUGGAGCAUGUGGUUUAAUUCCAAGCAACGCGAAGAACCUUACCAGGCCUUGACAUCCAAUGAACUUUCCAGAGAUGGAUUGGUGCCUUCGGGAACAUUGAGACAGGUGCUGCAUGGCUGUCGUCAACUCUUGUCUUGAGAUGUGGGGUAAGUCCCGUAACGAGCGCAACCCUUGUCCUUAGUACCAGCACGUUAUGGUGGGCAUCUAAAGGAACUGCGGUGACAACCGGAGGAAGUGGGGAUGAGUCAAUCAUCAUGGCCUUACGGCUGGG
rnacentral:rRNA from 1 species